rfam:Ovis aries breed Texel chromosome 4, whole genome shotgun sequence.
UCCCUGAUAGCUCAGUUGGUAAAGAAUCUGCCUGCAAUGCAGGAGACCCCGGUUCGAUUCCUGGGUCAGGAUG